CUCUAUGUGAACUUGCCACCAUGUAAUAAAAGAUAAAGAUUGGAAGUCCUAAUUUUUUACAAAAGGAAUCAUUUUAUUUUUUGCACCAAAGUUAGUCGUUAUCCACAUCAUAUAGCUACAAAUGCUAUUUAGUUACAUCACUGUUCAACUUGUGGACCAAUGAAGUUAUUGAAUGGUAGUUCUUGGUGUUUUACAUUGACUGACUACAAAAUGAUGCCUAUCUACCUCAAAACCUACUAUAUGUCUUUCUGUGGUCCUUGGCAUGAUUAUUCCAUGAUAUUUUACUAGCCCAUUUAGCAUCUCUUAUCAUCUUUAUUUAAUUCUUCUUGGCAAUGACAUUUGUUCGAGUGAGGAAAAAAAUAAAUUGCUCAAACGACUUUUUGACCCUCAAUCAUGUCAUAUCAUGUUUCUUGUUCUUUGAAGGAUAUAUAUAAAACUUUUUUGGUCCAUAGCUUUAAAUUGUAAUGUUCUUUGAAUGGAAGUCUUUUUCUAGUGACAGAUUUUCACUAUGGUGUAAUGAUCUAUCAAUUAAUGAUUUGUUGUGCUCAAAGUCCACAUCGAGAUUGCUACGUGCUUGUAACACACAUUCUAUCUGUUAUGGUCUGGUGCUUGAGUGCAGAACUUUGAGUUGUUAAUGCAACUUCAUUAUUGUUGAUGACAUGGCCCAGGUUUUCUCUAUUGUAGUUUGGCAAUGGAAGUUGAUGGAGGUGGCCAUGAAAUUGCAGUUGUCAAACUAUCCGAAGAUGAUCAAGGUCUGGUGGUUGGGCAGUUUGCUGCCUUCUACCAGGAUAGGAUGUGCAUUGAAUUCGGUAUGAUCAUGGAGUCAUGGGAUGAUUGCGAGUAUGGAAGAUAAAUCAAAGCUUGGGAGUCCUGUCAAGAAAAAGGUAAAACAAGAGAUUUGUCACAAAGAAUCUAACAACAGACCGUGUCAAGCUUAAUUAAUAAUAAUACAUGUAUCAAAAGUAUUUAUUUAAUCAUAUGUCGUUAAUAAUAAUAAAAAAUUACUUAAAAGUAAUUCUACAUUUUCCCUUAGACUUAGACGGACAUGCUUGUGACCUGUUUUGUAUUUUACUUUAUUGUUUGUAGAAUUUCCACUUAUACUCCAUAUCAGAUUGGCUGGGAAUUCUAAGGUUCUAAAUGUAUCUUGUGAUCCCUUCAUAUUUACACGAUUGGCCUUUUGCAAUUUGCAUAAAAGUGAACAACUUUUCCUUUGUCAUUUUCCCAUUGCUCGUCAAUGUAUUUCCGUGGAUUGGAUUCUUU
rnacentral:lncRNA from 1 species